rnacentral:rRNA from 1 species
UACGAAGGGUGCAAACGUUUGCUCGGAAUUAUUGGGCGUAAAGCGCACGUAGGCGGCUCCAAAAGUCGGAUGUGAAAUCCCUCGGCUCAACCAAGGAAGUGCACCCGAAACUGCGGAGCUUGAGUAUGGAAGAGGGUCGCGGAAUUCCCGGUGUAGAGGUGAAAUUCGUAGAUAUCGGGAGGAACACCAGUGGCGAAGGCGGCGACCUGGGCCAAUACUGACGCUGAGGUGCGAAAGCGUGGGGAGCGAACAGG